CUCCCCCCAGGCCUCUCACCACCCCUAAAGCUGACCUAGGAGCAAUGCGCCCCGGGAGGCCCCGCACCCGAGCCAGCCCUGCUCACCAGGCCCUGUUUGAAGCCCUGGACAGACAGAUGUGAAAAAGAUGUGUUCCUACUGUCAAGAAACUGGUGUUCUAGAAGUUAGAAAACAAACAGAUAAGACAGGUAUGAACUAUCUGAAAGAUGCCUGACCAUACACAUUGUUUAUGUUCUAUACCCUGCUAGCUAUAACCUUUUAUUGCUAUGCUGAUUUUAAAAUGACCACGUCACGAACAUGACAUCCACACACUAGCCAAAAGUGCCAGAGUAAGGGGAGAGAAGGAAAACUUCUCAGGCUGUGCCUGGUAGCACUUGGGAGGCUAAGCAGAAGGGUUUGGAGUUGAAGGCCAGCCAGACUUACACAUUGAAUUUGAGACCAGCCUAGGACUAUAUCAAGAGUCCCUAACUUUUUCAAAAAAGAAAAAAGGAAAGGAACUUUUAGGUAAGCCUAUGCAAAUCUGUCAGCUGACAUUUGGGUGACAUGAUGACAGCGUGAGCAAAUAGCAGCUAAAGGCCAACAGUCGCAUCACUGCACAAAAUGGCAAAACGGAUACUGGAGAAACGAAGAGCAUCAGCCGUGGUUGCCUCUGUCUACUCAAACAUGUGGACACAUCAUGCUUCCCACAGAUGAGUGUACUUCCCAAGAGAGACAACUGAAAGUCCCCAAUCGUAUGACAUCCUGUUCAAAGUUCAAGACCUCCCUGAAGAUCUGCUGUUCAAUUUGUCACCCCCACUCAACACGCCCAAUAUAGAAUACAAAAAUGGGAACAAACUAAUCACUGUGUUUAUAAAGCCAUCCAGCUCAGGGGAUAGCUUUAUAACAUGGAUAGCUUUUCAGACAUGGAUCAGAAACACACAGCAUAACCUUGUGCCAGCAAUCCCAGGAAUUACAACUCAAGCUUAUUAACAUCAAGAAUCUACGCCUGAAAGCCUGAGGGUCUACAAGAAAAAUGUUUAAAAAGUUUUAAGUGAAAACCAAAGUGCAUUAUACACAAGCGUCCCUUCUUUGAUUAUUUGAGGUAAAAUAUUAAAUAUAAAUAAGAAACCC